GUACUUGCCGCUGUUGCCGUGGUCGACUUAGUUUUGGGUUCUUAGAACAUCAGCUCUGGAUGGACAGAGAGGAAUUGGCCUGUACCAGGAUCCCGACUCAGGUGACAGCAUGCCAGAACUUGGAAUCCAGUAGCUUUCCUGGAAACAGUGGCUUCAGGAGCAGCAGAGGAGGCCACCUCCUAGCUCACCCUUCAUUGACUGACUAUUCCUCACCUGGACACGUCUUUGUGAGCCCAGCCCCCUACUGUUCUUUCCUUUGCCAUCUCUUUUACUGUGUCCUGGCCAAAAGUGCACCCUGUUUUCCGGAUUCUUACCUUUCUUCCCAGGGAGAGCACAAGAGACAACUCCAUGCCAGCUGAUCUUGUAGCACCUUGGCCUCAGGUGCUCAUGGGAUGCUACAGACAGUUCAGCUUCCUUCUAGGUGGAAGUGACCCUAUCUUUUUAGUCUGUCUUCGUGAAGAAGUUGCUUCUUCCUCUUGACUGUUUUCACUGGUUGUCUCUGGACCUCUUCUACCUUUUCUAUAAGGUCUUUAAAGCAGUCAUUUAAGUUUAAAUCCCAGGAAAAGAGGUUGGUAAUUCCUGAUCAUUCUGCUCCCUGUUCUCAGUCUUGUCUGUACUUAGAAGUGGGUGGAGCAUUCCUAAAGCUCACCAUGCUUCUAUACCUUUUUAUUUGUCCCUAUAAGAGGCCCUUCCACCUUCUACCAGGUCUCCAAUUCAGUUGCCCCAGUUUCUGGGAAUUUCCCAUGAUACAGGCCAAAACAAAAAAUGUCAUUUGUCUCUUUGGGCCCAGACAUGUCUAGAUUCGCUAAGCUUGCUUCUGUCUUCUUACUAUAGGUAAUAGAUUCCUGAAUCACCUUCAUAGAGUCCUCAGCCCUCACCCUGGGCCUUGUUAAUGUUAUCUCAUUGUAUGAUUCUUUUCUUUCUUCAAUCCCUAAACACAGUUGGACUGGGGCUGAGCUCUGAAAUAGUUUUUCCUAAGUCCAGGUGGUAAUUCAUAGCUUCUCCUUUGAACAGAAUUUCCAAUUUCCAAACCUAACCUGAUCUCUCACCUGGAACAAGGGGAGGUAGUAUAGGGGCAAGAUCUGCCCAGAAUGGAAAUUAGGAUCAUCCCAGGUGAUGAGGGAAAGAGAAAUGGACCUGUGGGAGCCAGAGGGAAGUAAUGGUCCAAUUGCUUAGGAAUGUAGUGACAGUUCUUUUUUUUUUAGGAUAGGAUGGCAGUCUGUCCACAGUGCUAGUUUUGACUGCCCUGGUGGUAAGUAGCAUGGGAAACAAUAUGGGCGAGCUAGCUUUCCCUUUCUUUAAUCCUUGGGGCUGCUACCCCAACUUCUGAUACUGUGAAAGAAUGACUGCUUCCUUUCCCUAGUGUUGGAAUGAUUAUGGAAGACAUUAUAGGCCCAAGAUUGGAUAGAACGGUGUCUGUUCAAAUGCAAAUGUGGAGUUUUGAAUAUACAAA